UUUUGGACAAUGGGCGCAAGCCUGAUCCAGCCAUGCCGCGUGAGUGAAGAAGGCCUUCGGGUUGUAAAGCUCUUUCGGCGGGGACGAAACGGUUCGUGCUAAUACCACGGACUACUGACGGUACCCGCAGAAGAAGCACCGGCUAACUACGUGCCAGCAGCCGCGGUAAUACGUAGGGUGCAGGCGUUAAUCGGAAUUACUGGGCGUAAAGCGUGCGCAGGCGGUUUGUUAAGACAGGUGUGAAAUCCCCGGGCUUAACCUGGGAAUUGCGCUUGUAACUGGCAGACUGGAGUGUGGCAGAGGGGGGUGGAAUUCCAGGUGUAGCAGUGAAAUGCGUAGAUAUUUGGAGGAACACCGAUGGCGAAGGCAGCCCCCUGGGCUAACACUGACGCUCAUGCACGAAA
rnacentral:rRNA from 1 species